UGGCUCAGUUGGUUGAGCGUCCAACUUCAACUUGGGUCAUCAUCUCACGGUUCGUGGGUUCGAGCCCCGC
rnacentral:tRNA from 1 species